GCUGCCCGUCGUUGGCCGACGCUCUGGAGGGACUGCAGGAUGUGGAGCGUUACUACCGGCACCUGUACCUGGAGAUCAGAUUGUUCCUCCUGCUCAUCAGCUGUGACAGCCUGGCAGACAUGGAAGCCCUCCCACAGGCCUGGGAGAGGAUUUUGGAGCGCUAUGGGGAAGACACUGUGCAAGAUUCUUUUCUUAAGAUCUCUCUCUUUCUGGACAACCAGUGACAGCUGCACUGCUGGCAAGGCUUCAGAUGGAGAGCAGGCAGGACUGAUGUUGACCAGCUUGUGUGAACAUGUGGUAUAUCCUGAGAUAACCACUAAGAGGAAGAUUACUUGAGGCAGUGUUUAGAAGGUGGAUGAGGUGACCUCUAUAGGAAGUGCUUGGAGUGUUCCAUUUUCAAGCUGAGAUGGAUUGUGUUUGAGGAAGAGGUUGAGCUCAACAGGUCAUGACAAUAGAAAGAAAUUGUCUUCAGCUACGGAAGUUGUCUUUCCUUUUUCCCCCCCAGUGAUGUUUUAUAUGCUGAAAGAAAUUUUGUGACUGACUAACUUGUAAACAAGCGGCAAAACGCACUGCAAAUAAAGGUAACAUGAGACACAGCAGGUUGAUGGGAAAGUGUUUUAGAUAACAUCCUUUAAAUAAAAGAUGUUGUAUCAGGAAUUAUAAGUAGUUUGUACAUUGUC